AGUGAACGCUGGCGGUAUGCCUAACACAUGCAAGUCGAACGGCAGCACAGUAAGCUCUUGCUCUUACGGGUGGCGAGUGGCGGACGGGUGAGGCAUACAUCGCAAUCUACUUUUUCGUGGGUGAUAACGUAGGGCAACUUACGCUACUACCGCAUACUACCUACCGGUGAAAGCAGGGGAUCUUCGCACCUUGCGCGAUUGAAUGAGCCGAUGUCGGAUUAGCUAGUUGGCGGGGUAAAGGCCCACCAAGGCGACGAUCCGUAGCUGGUCUGAGAGGAUGAUCAGCCACACUGGAACUGAGACACGGUCCAGACUCCUACGGGAGGCAGCAGUGGGGAAUAUUGGACAAUGGGCGAAAGCCUGAUGCAGCCAUACCGCGUGAGUGAAGAAGGCCUUCGGGUUGUAAAGCCCUUUUGUUGGGAAAGAAAAGCAGCAGAUGAAUACCCCGCUGUUCUGACGGUACCCAAAGAAUAAGCACCGGCUAACUUCGUG
rnacentral:rRNA from 1 species